AUUAUUUUUAACUUUUCAUAACAAAAUAUAUUUACAUUUACAAUUAUUGUUUGUGUUAUAAUUUUAAUUUAAUAAAAUUUAGUUUGUAACUAAAUAUAUAAAAAUAUUUGAUAGUUUUAUAUUACACGUAUUAUCAUACGAAGUAAAAUAAAUUUGUAAAGUUAUAUAUUUUUUUUAAUUCAUCUGUACGAUUAGAAAAGCAUAAUUGAGCAGUAUGGCAGAAGGAAAUCCUCAAGAAAAUAAUAAUAAUACACCAAGUUUAACUACAUUUCUUGAAGAGUUAACUAAUGGAACGGAUGGUACUUUACAAGAUGUGGAUAGUAACCAAACGAUUAUUUUGACACAUCAUCGAAUUCGUAGAGACUUAAAAGAUAAUCCGGAUGCUAUGCAACUAACUAGCUUAUUCAUCCAUAAGAUGCAUACAUUUCUAGUGUUAUUAGCGCUUCUUGGAUUUUUUAUAUCUGUGCUUUCUAUAUUUUACCAAUAUUGCAAAGUAAGAUUAAUAAAAAAAUUUAUGUAAUAUACUUAUACUAUCUUCAUUUAUAUAUAGUUACAUAUAAGUAGUUGAAUUAUUAUAUAAUAAUGUGUUUUGCAUAUUUUUUUUUUUUUUUUUAAAAUAGAGACAUGUUCGUAGCAUAGGACAAGGACGUGGAUCAGGACGUGGAUCAGGACGUGGCCGUCGUAGAAGACGAUAAAAUCGCCUGAACUGGUAACACUACAAACAUAGGAAUGUAUUUAUUAAGCAUCUUUAUGUGUGUAAAAAAGCGUAGUACGCUAAAAUUUAAAACAAUAGCACAAAUUUAAAUUCAAUUAUUUUGUGAUUUUAGAAAUUGUAAAAAUAUGUAAACAGUAAAAUUUUUUCCAUAUAUUAUUAAUUUAUAUGCAUUGUGCAUUUUUAACAUUAUUAACAAUUGAUAUAACAAGUUUAAGAUUAACAAUAACUAAUCGAACUUGUUUUUUUAGUUUAUUUAUAACUUAUAUUUUUUUUAUUUACUCACCUAAAAAAUAAUAAUUUGAUAGAUUUUUACUUUAACAUGUUUUUAUUAUGCAUUCACAGUGUCAAUAUUUGCUUGUUUGUUUGACGUGGCACAAAAUAAAGCUUGUAAUUUUUGUAUUUUUACA
rnacentral:lncRNA from 1 species